GGAAGUAAAAGUCGUAACCAAGGUUUCCGUAGGUGAACCUGCGGAAGGAUCAUUAUUGUAUAACCGAGGUGCGAGGGCUGUCGCUGACCCGAAAGGUCGUGCACGCCCGAGUGCCCUCACACACAUCCAUCUCACCCCUAUGUGCACCACCGCGUGGGUCCCCCUUUGGCUUGUUCGGAGGGGGGCUUACGUUUUCACACAAACUUUGUAUGCAGUGUAGAAUGUAUUUUUUGUUUUUGCGAUCACGCAAUCAAUACAACUUUCAACAACGGAUCUCUUGGCUCUC
rnacentral:misc_RNA from 1 species